rnacentral:rRNA from 1 species
GACAGAGGGUGCAAACGUUGUUCGGAAUUACUGGGCGUAAAGCGCGUGUAGGCUGCUUCGCAAGUCGGGUGUGAAAGCCCUGGGCUCAACCUAGGAAGUGCACUCGAAACUGCGAAGCUUGAGUCCUGGAGAGGAAGGCGGAAUUCUCGGUGUAGAGGUGAAAUUCGUAGAUAUCGAGAGGAACACCGGUGGCGAAGGCGACCUUCUGGACAGUUACUGACGCUGAGACGCGAAAUCGUGGGGAGCAAACAGG